AACCGGGGGAGCUCCUUUCUAGGGGCUGAGAGGAGGCCUGGGGAGGCCUCGACCCCUGGAACCUGACCUGGGUAAUGCCAGCGUAGGGAGGGUU
rnacentral:ncRNA from 1 species